rnacentral:rRNA from 1 species
GAUGAACGCUGGCGGCGUGCCUAAUACAUGCAAGUCGAGCGAACAGACGAGGAGCUUGCUCCUCUGACGUUAGCGGCGGACGGGUGAGUAACACGUGGAUAACCUACCUAUAAGACUGGGAUAACUUCGGGAAACCGGAGCUAAUACCGGAUAACAUGUUGAACCGCAUGGUUCAACAGUGAAAGACGGUCUUGCUGUCACUUAUAGAUGGAUCCGCGCCGCAUUAGCUAGUUGGUAAGGUAACGGCUUACCAAGGCAACGAUGCGUAGCCGACCUGAGAGGGUGAUCGGCCACACUGGAACUGAGACACGGUCCAGACUCCUACGGGAGGCAGCAGUAGGGAAUCUUCCGCAAUGGGCGAAAGCCUGACGGAGCAACGCCGCGUGAGUGAAGAAGGUCUUCGGAUCUUAAAACUCUGUUAUUAGGGAAGAAAAAAUGUGUAAGUAACUAUGCACGUCUUGACGGUACCUAAUCAGAAAGCCACGGCUAACUACGUG